rnacentral:snRNA from 1 species
AUCGCUUCUCGGCCUUUUGGCUAAAAUCAAGUGUAGUAUCUGUUCUUAUCAGUUUAAACCCAUGGAAAAUACAACACCAAGGGUGAGCCCUAAAAUAAACUAUAGGCUUUGUAUGAUGUGACCGUUGUAGGUUCAUCAAUAACAAACGCACCACUUUGGUGAGGGAUGCUGCUAAU